AGCAUGCAAGUCAAACGGGAUGUAGCAAUACAUCUAGUGGCGAACGGGUGAGUAACGCGUGGAUGAUCUACCUACGAGAUGGGGAUAACUAUUAGAAAUAGUAGCUAAUACCGAAUAAGGUCAAUUAAUUUGUUAAUUGAUGAAAGGAAGCCUUUAAAGCUUCGCUUGUAGAUGAGUCUGCGUCUUAUUAGUUAGUUGGUAGGGUAAAUGCCUACCAAGGCGAUGAUAAGUAACCGGCCUGAGAGGGUGAACGGUCACACUGGAACUGAGAUACGGUCCAGACUCCUACGGGAGGCAGCAGCUAAGAAUCUUCCGCAAUGGGCGAAAGCCUGACGGAGCGACACUGCGUGAAUGAAGAAGGUCGAAAGAUUGUAAAAUUCUUUUAUAAAUGAGGAAUAAGCUUUGUAGGAAAUGACGAAGUGAUGACGUUAAUUUAUGAAUAAGCCCCGGCUAAUUACGUGCCAGCAGCCGCGGUAAUACG
rnacentral:rRNA from 1 species